AGUCGAGCGAAUGGAUUGAGAGCUUGCUCUCAUGAAGUUAGCGGCGGACGGGUGAGUAACACGUGGGUAACCUGCCCAUAAGACUGGGAUAACUCCGGGAAACCGGGGCUAAUACCGGAUAACAUUUUGAACUGCAUGGUUCGAAAUUGAAAGGCGGCUUCGGCUGUCACUUAUGGAUGGACCCGCGUCGCAUUAGCUAGUUGGUGAGGUAACGGCUCACCAAGGCAACGAUGCGUAGCCGACCUGAGAGGGUGAUCGGCCACACUGGGACUGAGACACGGCCCAGACUCCUACGGGAGGCAGCAGUAGGGAAUCUUCCGCAAUGGACGAAAGUCUGACGGAGCAACGCCGCGUGAGUGAUGAAGGCUUUCGGGUCGUAAAACUCUGUUGUUAGGGAAGAACAAGUGCUAGUUGAAUAAGCUGGCACCUUGACGGUACCUAACCAGAAAGCCACGGCUAACUACGUGCCAGCAGCCGCGGUAAUACGUAGGUGGCAAGCGUUAUCCGGAAUUAUUGGGCGUAAAGCGCGCGCAGGUGGUUUCUUAAGUCUGAUGUGAAAGCCCACGGCUCAACCGUGGAGGGUCAUUGGAAACUGGGAGACUUGAGUGC
rnacentral:rRNA from 1 species